rnacentral:snRNA from 1 species
CACUACUGCACGGGCCGGCUCAACCCG